rnacentral:rRNA from 1 species
GACGAACGCUGGCGGCGUGCCUAAUACAUGCAAGUCGAGCGGAAUGAUGAAGAAGCUUGCUUCUUCUGAUUUUAGCGGCGGACGGGUGAGUAACACGUGGGCAACCUACCUUGUAGAUUGGGAUAACUCCGGGAAACCGGGGCUAAUACCGAAUAAUCCAUUUUGCUUCAUGGCGAGAUGUUAAAAGGCGGCUUCGGCUGUCACUACGAGAUGGGCCCGCGGCGCAUUAGCUAGUUGGUAGGGUAAUGGCCUACCAAGGCGACGAUGCGUAGCCGACCUGAGAGGGUGAUCGGCCACACUGGGACUGAGACACGGCCCAGACUCCUACGGGAGGCAGCAGUAGGGAAUCUUCCACGAUGGACGAAAGUCUGAUGGAGCAACGCCGCGUGAGUGAAGAAGGUUUUCGGAUCGUAAAACUCUGUUGUAAGGGAAGAACACGUACGAGAGUAACUGCUCGUACCUUGACGGUACCUUAUUAGAAAGCCACGGCUAACUACGUG